rnacentral:rRNA from 1 species
CUGGGCGGAGGCCCAACCAUGCAAGUCGAGCGGUAGAGAGAAGCUUGCUUCUCUUGAGAGCGGCGGACGGGUGAGUAAUGCCUAGGAAUCUGCCUGGUAGUGGGGGAUAACGUCCGGAAACGGACGCUAAUACCGCAUACGUCCUACGGGAGAAAGCAGGGGACCUUCGGGCCUUGCGCUAUCAGAUGAGCCUAGGUCGGAUUAGCUAGUUGGUGGGGUAAUGGCUCACCAAGGCGACGAUCCGUAACUGGUCUGAGAGGAUGAUCAGUCACACUGGAACUGAGACACGGUCCAGACUCCUACGGGAGGCAGCAGUGAGGAAUAUUGGACAAUGGGCGAAAGCCUGAUCCAGCCAUGCCGCGUGUGUGAAGAAGGUCUUCGGAUUGUAAAGCACUUUAAGUUGGGAGGAAGGGCAGUAAAUUAAUACUUUGCUGUUUUGACGUUACCGACAGAAUAAGCACCGGCUAACUCUGUGCCAGCAGCCGCGGUAAUACAGAGGGUGCAAGCGUUAAUCGGAAUUACUGGGCGUAAAGCGCGCGUAGGUGGUUCGUUAAGUUGGAUGUGAAAUCCCCGGGCUCAACCUGGGAACUGCAUUCAAAACUGACGAGCUAGAGUAUGGUAGAGGGUGGUGGAAUUUCCUGUGUAGCGGUGAAAUGCGUAGAUAUAGGAAGGAACACCAGUGGCGAAGGCGACCACCUGGACUGAUACUGACACUGAGGUGCGAAAGCGUGGGGGAGCAAACAGGAUUAGAUAUUCU